GCAGCAUUCACAGCUAGGACCCAGGUCCCUCCCACCCCAGGUGCUUACUUCUGUGCCACAAGGCUUUGUGACUCCUCCCUCCCAGAGCGCGGUGUGGCCUCUCAGACUAGAGUCUUAGUCUGGCCUGUGGACAUGACUUGUUUCCACAAAGUAGGUGAUAUCAAAAGACACGGACGUGUUCCCAUUCCGGUGAUCUGGAGUUCAGGGUGAGUCUCGUGGGGCUAAGGCGCCAGGUCCACAGAGCUGGCUUCCUUAGCUCGUGGCUCCUUACUUGUGUUCCGAGUGAUCUCUGCCACCGCUGUCACGGACCUUCUCUCCUGUGGACCCAUCCAACGUAGGAAGGCACCUGCCACUGCGUCUGUGGGGGACGCUAUAUCUAGGAUCAGCUUCUAUCCUGAGAGCGGUUAUGUACGGAAAAAGUUCCUUUUGCCAUAGAAAGGAAUGUGUGCACAAGUUCCUGGGUGUAGGGCACAGACACCUCUGGGAAAAAUGGAGGGGACAUGAUCCAGGUCACAGCAGCCAUGGAGACUUGAACAGUUGAGGAAGGAAGAGCAGCUGGAGCCACACUGGGCCCUGGAACCUGCCUCUGGUUGUGUGGAUCUCUCCCAUAGCCAAUAGUGCCCACUCUAGCCAGCCUGCUGUGUGACAGGGACACCGUCACUCCCAUACCCCAGCCAACAGCCAGAUGACCCCAAGUGUCAAUCCUUCCUGCUUGCCAGGCCCUGAUGGUCAACGCUGUGAGAAGAGCCACACAGCUGAGCCCAGCCCAGCUGCAUCCUGAAGAAGGAACCACUAAAUUCCAUGGGGUUCAUUACAGUGCAAAAGCCGAGUUCCCAGGCAACCCCUGGGAAGGGGAGAAUCAGUCACUAUACACCUACGGGGUACAUAACAUACUUCACACGUGACCUCACUGAACCCUCACGAAUCUCACACCAGCAUUCACUGCCACCAGACUACAGAUGAGGAAACUGAGCUUCGGUGAGUAGACAUCACUGGUUUGAGGUCGCAGGACUUGGAGUUGGCAGAUUCUGAUAUCCAUGCCAAGUCUACUGACCCCAAAAGCUCUGUCUCCCCAGCCCAGCCUGCUGGAAAUAAGGCCAAGCCAGUGUCUCUCCCAGCUGAUCUACUCCGCUCUACUUUCUCUUCUGAGGUCCUACCAGGUCCACCACCCACCUGCCGCCCAGGCUCCACCCACCUGCUGACCAGCUCCACCCAUCUGCCUCCUGGCUCCACCCACCUUCUGCCCGACUCCACCCACCUCCCUCCAAGCUCCACCCACUUUCGUCCCAGCUCCACCCACCUGGUGCCCAGCCAUCACUGAUGGAAGCAACAUGAGAGGCUGAGUCAAGAUCUGCCUCUUUGUGGCUAUGUGACCUUGGGCAAGUCAAUUCACCUCUCUGAGCCUCUCUGCAUCUUCCACAGUGAGAAGGGAGUGUACAGAUGUGCUGAACACAACAGGAAGAAGAGGGAAUUCUGGGAUACCAGAGUCCUCAGCUCUACCUUCUCUGACUCUUCAAAUCUCCUGUCUCCAGCCCUCACUCACCUUUCUGCCUCCCUAGCUGAUGAAUCCAGAACCGUGUUUCAUCAGUCUGCAGUUCUGUUGUUUGAGGACUAAUCCUGCCCCUUGUGGCCAAGAGGACUUCACCCUGGGCAUCACAGCAAACGCACCCAGUGCUCCGAGGAUUUGAUCACGGGAGAAUGAUGUCAUUUGUCAGCAGCGAUGUCCCUGCCCACAGCCUGAUACAUUUGCAUUCGGAGCUGGAGACAGAAAGACCGGUAAAAAGCCGGAGAGGGAAAGGGGGCUGCCUCCGAGUGACUGGCAUGAAUUAUUUCGACCUAACUUACUAAUUAAGACCCUCAUUAGCAGCCCAAAUUUGUGAUAGAUAGGCAGAGGACUUGGCACAAUGGUUUAAUUUAAUGAUUCCUUGCAUUUACUUUGUUAAUCAUCUUUAGUCUGAUUUAAUUUAUGCCGAUGUGACUGUCCUCAUUUCUAAUUAAGGCAUUGAUGGUGGGGACGCCGCCAUCGCAGAAGAAUUUCAAUCAAGCCUCAUACAAAAGCAGAUACCAGCGCUUACGACCUCCGAGAUGGCAAUUUGCAAAGCCGGCUGCUUGUUGUUUUAUUUCUGCCUGAAAGGUUGGGGAGGGUCUGGUCUUUGCCUGGGGCAGAUGGUUCUCACUAACCACAGACCUUUAUAAUCAUUUUUUUUAAAGGCUCUGAAAAGCUCUUAGCGCUUAAGUAGAUCUCUCCUAGAUUCGCACACAAGGGAGCAGGGUUCAGAGAGGCUGAGAGGCUGGCAGAAGGUCACACAGCAAGUUAGCAAGCCUGGGAGGUGACCCUUUAGAAACACUCCCCCCUCCAACACACAAACCCCAUGACCACCCACAUGGCAGACACCAUCCAACACACACACACACACACACACACACACACACACACACACACACACACACAACUCCUGGUAGCUUCUGGAAACUUUGUACCUGCCUGGAAUCUGGUGCCACAACUUUCAACUGGGUAUGAAUUCCAUCCUCCCCAGUACAUGAGGCAGGCUACUAGACGUGGCCCCACCCUGCCAAUCAGGGACACGGAUUCCAGGAAGCAGAAAGCCCUCUUGGAUUCUCCCAGCAGAGAGGCGAAGUUUCAGCCCAGACCCACGUGACUCCAAAGUCCACGUUCUUCUAUCAACCCACCCUCCUCACUGGCCACCUCUGCACGCUGGCAGGGUUGGCACAGCUGCUAUGGCCGGUAGGCACCAGGACUCAGUGAGGCGGCUCAUGGGACAACCACCCCGUCCUGUGCAGAAGGCCUCCAGUCACAGCCCAGGAAGAUGGAGAAGCCGAGAACCAGAGAGGCUUGUGAGCUGCCUAAGGACACACAGCAACAGAGCCAGCAUGGGGACUGUCCUUGCUUCCUAUCUCCUGCUCUCCCAGCGUCUACUCUAUCAGUCUGUCCUGUCAGCUCGACCUCCAUGAAGUCCUGAGGCAUCAUGUUUCUCCUCCCUGAUGUCACACCCUUAAUGACCACAGCUGCCUCCUUCCUGAUUCCCGUCAGUCGCCAGGAGAAUUAUUGAACCUCAGCCUGUGUGAAGAGCCUUCCCUGAGUUAACGAAGAGACCGUGGACAAGGUACAUAAGUAACACAAGGGCCGACCAUCCUGGGCUUUGAGAUCACAGGGCGAUGGGAGAGAAGAGCAGAGCUGAAGCAAAGAGCAUCCAGACACCAGCUCCAUUCGUCAGAGCUGACGGGGACAGUCAAGGCUCAGAGCGAGGAUGCCAAACCCGGCCUGACGUCACAGGUGAGAAGACACACGCGGCUCGAACCCCAGUGUCUGCAGGCAGGCACACAAAUGAAACAUGGUGUGUGCAGAAGGGAGUCGCACAACCCCGAAGAAGAAUGAAGCCACGUCAUUUGCAGGAAGAUAGAGCUGGACACCAUCGUGUUAAGCUAAAUAAGCCAGACUCAGACAGAUACUGUAUGCUUCUCUCAGAUGCAUAGUGGAAGCUAACUACAGAUAUCUGUGCUUAUCUAUGUAUGCUAUGUGAGAACAGAAGGGAGACCAGGGAGGCAGGAGGGGGCCAGUGUGGGGGACUCAGGACAAGAGAGUGUGAUCAUAGAAGAAUGAUCAUAAAAACACAUUUUUGUAUACUAACUAAAAAAGGUAAAUACAUAGUAUUAUUUUUAAGUUAAUGAACACAAAUCCUACCUUUCACUGAUAGGACAAAAAGCAGGCAAGCUUUUUUUUUGUCUCUGUGGCACAGGCCCAUGUGUGGAAGGGGCUGCUGACCAUGCUCCUCAGAGGUUCCUCUGAAGAUACAAAGGGUGCCUGCUCCAUGGAGAGCACUCAAUUAACAUUAGCUGGUUUUAUCAAGGUAAUAUGUUGUUUGUCCACCUUCUCUGGAGGACUCCUCAGCCACUUCCUGGCUGAGCACCUGUGGGAAACCCUACUCCUGUUUCUGGUAUCAUGAUUGGUGUCUGACCCGGGUCAGAGCUACCAUGCAGAGGCUGAGGAAACAUCUUCACUAGCCAUCAUUUGUCUUGAUGUCUACUCAAAAAUUCUUUGUGUGCCCCAAGCUCGGAGGCUGACUUGUCUGUGGAGACCAGUGUGGGCAUCUCCUGGCACCGUCAGUUGCUUCUGAGGGAUAGUUACAGAAAGGAGAAAAUAAUAAAACAUUUCAAGCCCCACAAGCCAGAUUGUGUCCCUUACAACUACUGUAUUGGCUACAUGAAAGUAGUCACUGGGUACCCUGACCCAGGAAGAUGACAUCAGCUAGCAUAUCACGCCAGGCACCCAGGUCCUGAUCGUAACGAACCUCCAUUACCAUGGGGACAGUAUAAACCUCCUGGUUAGACAAGUCUCUAGGGCAGCUCUCCUCUGAGAGCUAUCAAGGACCCAGGCCCCCUCCACGUUGUGGCUCUUCCAUUCCCCACUCAGAGCACCCUGUUCACAGGGCUUAUCUAAACUAAGUCUGUGGAAGGUAAGGAGUGAGGAGACUCACACUUGGAAGGCAGGUGACCAGACCUGGAAUGGAGCAUAGCAAACCUUCAUCAUGGACUAGGACUUGUUCAUAGCCAUUCACAGGGGUCUUGGGACAGGGAUCCAUGCUAUGUGCCCUGGAGAACCAGCAGGUUUUCAAAGGAGUUCAGAAACUGCAGGAGGACAACUGAGACAAGUCUGGGGGGACCGGGAUGUCUCUCAGAGUCCAUUCAGAAUUCAGGCUUAAAGUCAGAAUCCUCACAUACGCUCCUGGGUGUGCCCCCCCAAGUCUCCUGGGGUUCCCAUUCUCUAUCCUACCAAAGUCUCCUUGUGUGGCUGCCUCUCCUCCCAGCAGCACAUUUCAGUUUCCUGAAGACAGAGUCAGGUGUGUGACUGACUCACUGCUGUGUGUCUGUCCGCACAGGGGCCAUGUGGCAAGUAUGAGACAAAAAGUACAACUAAUUAAUUAAUUGAAACAUGAAUACAAGUCAUGAAGACUUGUGAACUGGGGCUUAAAUCAGCAGCACGGGGGAAAAAAAGAGAGACAAAUCGAUGUGACAAGUCUCCGGUUCCAUUGUCCAGGAAAAGUACACUGCUGGCUAGACCACAUGCCCUGAAAGAGUGAGGAAGAAGGUGGGUGUGAUAUAUGCACUCAGUUGUGCAUUACACACGUGUGUGCUCAUGCAUGUAUUGCACAUGUGCACUGAACAUUGGGUGGGUAUGGAUGUGUAC